rnacentral:rRNA from 1 species
UACGAAGGGGGCUAGCGUUGUUCGGAAUCACUGGGCGUAAAGCGUAUGUAGGCGGAUCGUUAAGUCGGGGGUGAAAUCCCGAGGCUCAACCUCGGAACUGCCUUCGAUACUGGCGAUCUUCGAAUCCGGGAGAGGUGAGUGGAACUCCGAGUGUAGAGGUGAAAUUCGUAGAUAUUCGGAAGAACACCAGUGGCGAAGGCGGCUCACUGGCCCGGUACUGACGCUGAUAUACGAAAGCGUGGGGAGCAAACAGG